UACGGAGGGGGCGAGCGUUAUUCGGAAUUAUUGGGCGUAAAGGGCGCGUAGGCGGCUGUACAAGUCAAAGGUGAAAUCCCUCGGCUACAACUGAGGAACUGCCUUUGAAACUGUACGGCUUGAGGCCGGGAGGGGGUAGCGGGAAUCCCAGUGUAGCGGUGAAAUGCGUAGAUACUGGGAGGAACACCAGUGGCGAAGGCGCUGACCUGGACCGGUUCUGACGCUGAGGCGGCGAAAGCGUGGGUAGCAAACAGG
rnacentral:rRNA from 1 species